rnacentral:rRNA from 1 species
GAGUUUGAUCAUGGCUCAGGAUUAACGCUGGCGGCAUGCCUAAUACAUGCAAGUCGAACGGAGUAGCAAUACUUAGUGGCGAACGGGUGAGUAACACGUAUCUAAUCUACCAUUUAGUGGGGAAUAACUGUUGGAAACGACAGCUAAUACCGCAUAAUAUUGCUGGAUAAUUUCCAGUAAUGAAAGGAGCUUUCAAGCUCCGCUGAUUGAUGAGGAUGCGGCGCAUUAGCUAGUUGGUAGGGUAAUGGCCUACCAAGGCAAUGAUGCGUAGCCGAUCUGAGAGGAUGAACGGCCACAUUGGGACUGAGACACGGCCCAAACUUCUACGGAAGGCAGCAGUAGGGAAUUUUUCACAAUGGGCGAAAGCCUGAUGGAGCAAUGCCGCGUGACUGAUGAAGGUCUUCGGAUUGUAAAGGUCUGUUGUAAGGGAAGAAAUGGUAAAACAGGAAAUGGUUUUAUCUAUGACGGUACCUUACCAGAAAGCCACGGCUAACUAUGUGCCAGCAGCCGCGGUAAUACAUAGGUGGCAAGCGUUAUCCGGAUUUAUUGGGCGUAAAGGGUGCGUAGACGGUUUUGCAAGUCUGAGGUUAAAUUUAGGAGCUCAACUCCUAAUCGCCUUGGAAACUACAAGACUAGAGUAUAGGAGAGGUUAGUGGAAUUCCAUGUGUAGCGGCGGAAUGUGUAGAUAUAUGGAGGAACACC